GACGAACGCUGGCGGCGUGCUUAACACAUGCAAGUCGAACGGUAAGGCCCUUCGGGGUACACGAGUGGCGAACGGGUGAGUAACACGUGGGUGAUCUGCCCUGCACUUCGGGAUAAGCCUGGGAAACUGGGUCUAAUACCGGAUAGGACUCCGGACUGCAUGGUCUGGGGUGGAAAGCUUUUGCGGUGUGGGAUGGGCCCGCGGCCUAUCAGCUUGUUGGUGGGGUGAUGGCCUACCAAGGCGGCGACGGGUAGCCGGCCUGAGAGGGUGACCGGCCACACUGGGACGGAGAUACGGCCCAGACUCCUACGGGAGGCAGCAGUGGGGAAUAUUGCACAAUGGGCGCAAGCCUGAUGCAGCGACGCCGCGUGAGGGAUGACGGCCUUCGGGUUGUAAACCUCUUUCAGCAUCGACGAAGCGAAAGUGACGGUAGGUGCAGAAGAAGGACCGGCCAACUACGUGCCAGCAGCCGCCGUAA
rnacentral:rRNA from 1 species